CCGAGUGAAAACUCCCAAACCCCUGUGAACAUACCACUGUUGCUUCGGCGGACCACCCUCGCCUCGCCGCGGGGGCCCGCCAGAGGACCCAAAAUUCAACUGUAUCUUGUUUUCCAAACGCAUUCUGAGUGGGAUUUUUAAAUCAAAUCA
rnacentral:misc_RNA from 1 species